GUGCUUGCUCUGCAGCACAUAUACUAAAAUUGGAAUGAUAGAGAAGAUUAGCAUGGUCCCUGCACAAGCAUGACACACAAAUUCAGAAGCAUUACACCUUCUU
ensembl:snRNA U6 U6 spliceosomal RNA